UUGAAAGGGAAACGAUUGAAGUCAGUCGUACCAGCGGGAAAUCAACCUUUCGAGUGGGGGUUUUGGAGUUUUUUGAAGAGUGUCAAAACCUUUGAGAUUUCAAAAUAUUCGCUCUUUUGGUGUACUUUCUCGUGGGUAGGUUAACAUCGAUUUUGAUCAUCAUAAAGAGAUUGGAGGAAUGUAGCUUCGAUCUUGUAUUGAAGUGUUAUAGCCUUUGGUAAAUGUGAUGAUUAGGAUCGAGGAUUGCAACGAAUACCCUUUUGGGCUAUCCGCCUGAUCUCUGAUACGUGGCCUUGGUAUCGAAAGCGUGCUUAUGGUAUUGAGGUAUUACGGUCAAAAGGUUAGAACGGAUUACAUUCGUUAAGGAUGUUGACGUA
rnacentral:rRNA from 1 species